AUUCAGCCAUCUACGGGCUUCCACACAAACUAUUUAGCAAAUGAGAGCUGUUUGGGCCAAGCAAUGUGCUAUGCAAGGCCAAUCCAAAGGAAUUUGGCCUUUGCCAGUGUAUCUGUAGAAGGUGAUGACUUGUCUCAGGGACCAACUGAAGUAUGUAUAAUAUGCAAUGAUGAAAUACCCUUAAAGAAUUUGAGGAGGCAUGUAGAGGAUUGUGAUAAAAAUUGUAACAAUGAUGAUAAUGACCUAGAUAUUUUACCAGAGAUCAAUUUUAAGCCAAUGAAGAAGUCGCAACAACCAAUAUGCAAGUAUACUUGUGUACCGAAUCAACUAUGUUCAGUGUCCGCUGUGUCAAGACAGUUUUAAUAAAGAUGUCAUAGAAAUUCAUUCUUCAACCUGCAAUGGUCUGAGUGAAAGGUAUAUCUGACCUCAAUCUGUUGAACAUUUGCAUUAAUAGUAUGUUAUGAUGCCUUGUAUUUAACUGUGAAAUUGAACUGAGAAGAUCUAUGGGUCUGUACC